rnacentral:rRNA from 1 species
GCAUGCCUAAUACAUGCAAGUCGAACGAUGACGUCACUGCUUGCAGUGAUUGAUUAGUGGCGAACGGGUGAGUAACACGUGAGGAACUUGCCCAUGAGCGGGGGACAACAUUCGGAAACGGAUGCUAAUACCCCAUAGGUGGAUUGGUCGCAUGACUAAUUCAUUAAAGGUGGCUCUGCUACCACUCAUGGAUAGCCUCGCGGCGUAUUAGCUAGUUGGUAAGGUAAUGGCUUACCAAGGCAGUGAUACGUAGCCGACUUGAGAGGGUGAUCGGCCACACUGGGACUGAGACACGGCCCAGACUCCUACGGGAGGCAGCAGUAGGGAAUCUUCCACAAUGGGUGCAAACCUGAUGGAGCAAUGCCGCGUGAGUGAAGAAGGUCUUCGGAUCGUAAAGCUCUGUUGUUAGAGAAGAACACGUGCUAGGUAACUACUAGCGCCUUGACGGUAUCUAACCAGAAAGUCACGGCUAACUACGUGCCAGCAGCCGCGGUAAUACGUAGGUGACAAGCGUUGUCCGGAUUUAUUGGGCGUAAAGGGAGCGCAGGCGGUCUGUUUAGUCUAAUGUGAAAGCCCACGGCUUAACCGUGGAACGGCAUUGGAAACUGACAGACUUGAAUGUAGAAGAGGAAAAUGGAAUUCCAAGUGUAGCGGUGGAAUGCGUAGAUAUUUGGAGGAACACCAGUGGCGAAGGCGAUUUUCUGGUCUAACA